rnacentral:lncRNA from 1 species
UUGUUGCGAAGGUUCGCCGGCGUUGGUGAUGGAGGUGAGGCGGAGGUUGUGAAAUGGUGAUAGAUCCAAUGUUGAAGGGUUAGUGACGGUAGGUGUUUGACGGCGUGAAAGUUAACGAAGGUGAAUCGUGGCGGAGAGGAAGAGGGUUCGUGGUGGUUUUGUGGUUAUGAAUGGAGGUUUUCGGUGAGGGUUCCGUGGUGGUAGAUCGGAGGAAGAAGAAUGGAUGGUGAAGUG